UAGGGAAUCUUCGGCAAUGGGGGGAACCCUGACCGAGCAACGCCGCGUGAGUGAAGAAGGUUUUCGGAUCGUAAAGCUCUGUUGUUAAGGAAGAACGAGUGUGAGAAUGGAAAGUUCAUACUGUGACGGUACUUAACCAGAAAGGGACGGCUAACUACGUGCCAGCAGCCGCGGUAAUACGUAGGUUCCGAGCGUUGUCCGGAUUUAUUGGGCGUAAAGCGAGCGCAGGCGGUUAGAUAAGUCUGAAGUUAAAGGCAGUGGCUCAACCAUUGUAGGCUUUGGAAACUGUUUGGCUUGAGUGCAGGAGGGGAGAGUGGAAUUCCAUGUGUAGCGGUGAAAUGCGUAGAUAUAUGGAGGAACACCGGUGGCGAAAGCGGCUCUCUGGUCUGUAACUGACACGGAGGCUCGAAAGCGUGGGGAGCGAACAGG
rnacentral:rRNA from 1 species